AUUGAACGCUGGCGGCAGGCCUAACACAUGCAAGUCGAGCGGAGCGGCAGACGGGUGAGUCAUGCCUAGGACUCUGCCUGGUCGUGGGGGAUAACGUCCGGACACGGGCGCUAAUACCGCAUACUAUCAGAUGAGCCUAGGUCGGAUUAGCGUGUUGGUGGGGUAAAGGCCUACCCAGGCGACGAUCCGUAACUGGUCUGGGAGGAUGAUCAGUCCCACUGGACUGGAGACACGGUCCAGACUCCUAAGGGAGGCAGCAGUGGGGAACAUUGGACAAUGGGCGAAAGCCUGAUCCAGCCAGGCCGCGUGUGUGAAGAAGGCCUUCGGAGUGUAAAGCACUUUAAGUUGGGAGGCGUUACCAACAGAAUAAGCACCGGCUAACUUCGUGCCAGCAGCCGCGGUAAUUC
rnacentral:rRNA from 1 species